rnacentral:tRNA from 1 species
GGGACCAUAGUUAAUAAUAACAUUUGAGUUGCAUUCAAAAAGUACUACUACAUAGUAGUUGGCCUCA